UACGUAGGGUCCGAGCGUUGUCCGGAAUUACUGGGCGUAAAGAGCUCGUAGGUGGUUUGUCGCGUUGUCCGUGAAAACUCACAGCUCAACUGUGGGCGUGCGGGCGAUACGGGCAGACUGGAGUACUGCAGGGGAGACUGGAAUUCCUGGUGUAGCGGUGGAAUGCGCAGAUAUCAGGAGGAACACCGGUGGCGAAGGCGGGUCUCUGGGCAGUAACUGACGCUGAGGAGCGAAAGCGUGGGGAGCGAAC
rnacentral:rRNA from 1 species